rnacentral:rRNA from 1 species
CAGUAGCCGCGGGAAUACGGAGGGUGCAAGCGUUAAUCGGAAUUACUGGGCGUAAAGCGUACGCAGGCGGUCUGACAAGUCAGAUGUGAAAUCCCCGGGCUUAACCUGGGAACUGCAUUUGAAACUGUCAGGCUGGAGUCUUGUAGAGGGGGGUGGAAUUCCAGGUGUAGCGGUGAAAUGCGUAGAGAUCUGGAGGAAUACCGGUGGCGAAGGCGGCCCCCUGGACAAAGACUGACGCUCAGGUGCGAAAGCGUGGGGAGCAAACAGGAUUAGAUACCCCUGUAGUCCCUGUCUCUUAUAU